CCCAUAUAGAAGACACACAAUCCUUCGGCCCAGAAGGAGAGGACUUUAAGGCAAGGAAUGACGAAGAGAGGGUCGUGUGAUAGACAAGCAGAAGGAAGGCAGGAGGAGGGCACCGAGGAGAGAAAGGACUAAGGACACAGUUUAAGGACAUCCAUGUUUGGAAACGCCACAAUGUGUCCCAUCACACUGUAAGGUUGUCUUAUUUAACAUGGAACUUACCACGGCAGCUGGAUUGGAUGGCUAGCAUACUCUAGGGAUCCUACUGGGUCUGCUCCCUCAGCACUGAAGUAACAGAAUCCUUUGUCCAGCUCUGUAGUGUGCUAAGAGUGUGGAACCUUCCCUCCAAUGCAGAAGUGGGGAGCUAUUUUUUGACAGUUGUGCCAGUCUGCUCAAUUGAUGUCAGUGGAGCAUGGGUUGUCCUGAUGUCCUUCGUAUUCUGAUGUUAAUUCUGCUCCCUCAAAAGAGCUUGCCCCCAGUUCCCCGAAAGGAGCAGUCUAUCACAUCCAUCACUGUUCAUCCAUCAUCAUGGCUCGGCUCUCACAUACUCAGGUGAUCUCAUGGGAGUCUUCUCCCCAUUUAAACCAGUCAAUAAAGGCGGUGGAGGGAAAGGUGGAACUGGAGGUUUUACAGAUGGAAGGAGAGGGAAGAGGAGGAGAGGGGAAGAAGAAAGGACUGAAGAAGAGAAGAAGGAAGCCGUGAUGGACCAGAACCACAUGCUCAGCAAUAAGCCAUCGAAAUCUUUUUUCCCAACUUCUCUUUCUCCCCAAGAGGGCCACUUAGAGGAGCGUGAAGACAAGCGAAGACAUGUAUGUAUGUGCACCAUGUGUACUCUGGUGUUGGCUAAGGUGUUAGAAGAAGACAUCCCAUCCACCCGGAUCUGGAGUUCCUGACAGUGGUUAGACAUCAGUUCCGUUGAAGACAGUGCUACCCAAGUGAGCAUUCCAAAUCAUGUUUAAA
rnacentral:lncRNA from 1 species